UACGUAGGGUGCAAGCGUUGUCCGGAAUUAUUGGGCGUAAAGAGCUCGUAGGCGGUCUGUCGCGUCUGCUGUGAAAACUCAGGGCUUAACCCUGAGCUUGCAGUGGGUACGGGCAGACUAGAGUGCGGUAGGGGAGACUGGAAUUCCUGGUGUAGCGGUGAAAUGCGCAGAUAUCAGGAGGAACACCGGUGGCGAAGGCGGGUCUCUGGGCCGUAACUGACGCUGAGGCACGAAGGUCAGGGGAGCAAACGGG
rnacentral:rRNA from 1 species